rnacentral:rRNA from 1 species
UACGUAGGGUGCAAGCGUUGUCCGGAAUUAUUGGGCGUAAAGGGCUCGUAGGCGGUCCAUCGCGUCGGGAGUGAAAAGCUGGGGCUCAACCCCAGUCCUGCUUCCGAUACGGGUGGACUAGAGGUAGGCAGGGGAGAACGGAAUUCCAGGUGUAGCGGUGAAAUGCGUAGAUAUCUGGAGGAACACCGGUGGCGAAGGCGGCAUCCUGGACCAACACUGACACUGAGGAGCGAAAGCCAGGGGAGCAAACGGG